ACAAAAGCGAGGAAGAUGCAGGAAACUAUGGCUACCGCCACGACCAGGUAUAGCGUUAGACCUGAAGCUUCGGAGUCACGUGGAACUUCCAGACUGCCCAGGUCAGCCAGGACAUCUGGGAUGCUGUCAGCAAUGGCCACAGUGAGUGUGACGGUGGCUGAGAGAGGGGGCUGGCCAUGGUCCUGCACCGCCACGACCAGGCUCUGCUUGAGCGCAUCUCUGUCCAGCAGGGCCCGUGCUGUGCGCACCUCGCCUGUGUGCAGCCCCACUGCGAAGAGCCCUGGUUCGCUGGCCUUGAGCAGGCGGUAGGACAGUCGGGCAUUCUGACCCGAGUCUUUGUCCACUGCCACCACCUUAGUGACCAAAUAGCCAGACUCUGAAGAACGGGGUGCCAGCUCCAUUCCAGUGGAAGUGUCAGUGGGUAGGGUGGGGUACAGGAUCUCUGGUGCAUUGUCAUUCUGGUCCAGCACAAAUAUGCUCACAGAAACAUUGCUGCUGAGAGGUGGGUCCCCACUGUCAGUGGCAAUCACCUGAAUCUGUAGAUCAUGAAAUUGCUCAUAGUCGAAAGUUCGCAACGCAUACAGGACUCCUGUGUCAGAGUUUAUGGAGACGUAGGAGGAUAGAGGUGCUUCCUGGAAAGUGUCUUCAGCUAGGGAGUAAAUAACCUGAGCAUUCUCUUUGCUGUCUGGGUCUAGUGCAGUCACAGACAAGAUGGAGGCACCUCUGGGGUUGUUCUCCGGGAUAUAGGUGAAGUAGGAGAUGUGGGAAAAAGUGGGUGGGUUGUCAUUAAUAUCUGCCACUUGCACAGUGAAGUGAGUUUCUGUUAAUAGGGGUGGAUUUCCUCCAUCUGUGGCUGUCACUGUGAUAUUGUAAGAGGAUACCUGUUCCCUGUCAAGGGUUCUGUGUGUCACCAGUCUAUAAUAACCGUCAAUGGAUUUCUCUAACUUAAAUGGUAGAUUGCCUGAUAUGGAACAGGUGACCUGUCCAUUCUGCCCAGAGUCUGGAUCAUGCACAUUUAAAAGGGCUAUAAUAGUUCCCGGAGGUGAGUCUUCCAUCAGGGGACUAAACAGAGAUGUGAUGGUCACCUCUGGAUUGUUGUCAUUUACAUCUUCUACUGUAAUCAAUACUUUUGCCAUUGCAAGAUAUGCUCCUCCAUCUUCUGCUUGUAUUUCUAAUUCAUAGAAAUCUGUUUCUUCGUAGUCUAGAUUUUCUGAUAAUUUUAUUUCCCCAGUAUUUUUGUUUAGUUGGAAUUUCAACAAUUUGUCAGGAACAAAUUUUCGGAAUGAAUAUGUGACUUCUCCAUUGGCUCCUUCAUCCCUGUCUGUGGCAGUGACUGUAAGCAGCUGUGUGCCCACAGGCAAGUUCUCCAGAACACUCACUCGGUAUUCUGGCAAGGUAAAGACCGGUGCAUUGUCAUUUGUAUCAAAGACGAUCACACUGAUGAGAACUGUACCAGAUAGGAGAGGGUCACCCCCAUCAGAGGCAGUGAGGACCAGGUGGUGUAGUGCCUCUUCCUCACGAUCCAGGGCGUGCUUCAGUACCAGCUCCGGGUAUUUGACACCACUGGCAUGACUCUGAACUGCUAAUGAGAAGUACUUAUUGGAGCUGAGCUGGUAGCUCUGGAGGGAGUUCACACCCACGUCUGGAUCAGCAGCUUCCAGGAGAGGAAAACGCAUUCCUGGAGCGACAUUUUCAUUAAUUUUUACCUCUACAUUUUCUGCUUGGAAUUUUGGGGCAUUAUCGUUGACAUCAGUUAUUUCUAUUUCUAUCCCAAAAAGUUCCACCCUAUCUUCCACAAGAAUGUUAAAAUUCACCAGACACCGUGCACUCUGACCACAGAGCUCCUCCCGGUCUAUCCUGCCUGCGGUGACCAAACUGCCACUUCUCGGGUUCAGAGCGAAAAGCUGCGUCCUACCUCUGGAGACGAUGCGGACUCCAGGCUCAGCCAGCUCCCAGGGCUCCAGCCCCAGGUCCUUGGAGAUGUUGCCGACGAAAGAGCCUUUCUCUAACUCCUCAGGAACGGAGUAGCGGAUCUGCCGGGCUUCAGCCUCCCAUGACAAACCGAGGAAAAGACAGAACAAAACCAGCGCUUUGCGGUUGGAGUGGUUCCUUUUAGCAGCCAUUGUUGUCUAGUCAAGGAAUUCUCGCCAAGUAAUCACUGGGCACGUUGUGUGUUUUAACGAUUCCUUUUUCUUUGUCUGGCUGCUGGGAGCCUCUGUAGCCUACGCACCUCAAAUUCUGGAGUGAGUUUCACUGCAACCCUGGAGCCGGUUUGUAGGAACUGAGGAGCUUUGCGUAGUCGGAGCCCUGAGAAUCCGGAUUGAGCGCUGGCUGUGUUUCUCUGGGAGAACAGCGGCGCUCAGAGUCCUGAGAAGUUACUGCACCCACUAUGUGUGCAAUGGAAAACACGGUACUCUUUGUUGGAUCUUUCAUUUUACUUUACAAUACUUCUUUGGCUUCUCAACUGAUAUCCCUUAAGUCAACUACUACUUGUAGAUUGCUUAUUGGGUAGGAUAAAUGGAAAGUACUAUAAAAUAUCAAAUGAAAAUAACUGGUCAAAUAUACAUAUUUGUAACACUUUCUGAGUAGAAACAUACUCAUUUCUAGCUAUAUUCACUUAUAAUUUUUAUUUUAGCUUUAACUAAUUGGCCAAUUAAUUAAAUUUGUUGAUGAUUAAUAUUGUGUAAAAAUUUUUCAAAAUAUUCUUUUCUAAAAUAGUUUUAUUGAGCCUCCAUGAACUGUUUUGAAAACAAUGUUUUUUUUUAUUGUAGGCAUAUAUAAUUAGAAGUUAAUUUGACCUAUUUAAAUUAAUGAAGUAACCACAAACUAAAAGGAGUAUAACAUGUCUGUGUGGUAAUGGGAAGAAAAAUAUAAGAAUUUCAAGCUACAAUUUUUAAAAACAAAAUAAUGAUGUAGGGGUUUUUUUUUUUAAGUAAGUAUUUACUCAAAUGAUCUGUUUUCAUCAGAGCACUGAUGCCCAUACAAACAAUCUCUUCUGGCACUUUGUAUGGAAGCCCAAAGUGAAGUGGUUCAGACAUCUUCAAUUCUACCUGCCCAUCAACCCAGCAGAAGUUCUCUCCCCAAAGGUGAGGAGUUUAGAGGUUCACAUCUUUUAUACAGAGAACAGGUUGUUCAGGACCAUUUAUGUCACUAUGCCUCCAAAGUGUGGAACUUUUCAAAGAUUUUAUAUUUUGUCUUCAAAGACUUUAUAUCAGACAAUUAGAGACAGAGACUGAGUGCAAAAGGCAGUGACAGUUCAUUUGCUUUCUUGGAAAUUCAUUCUUUUUCAAUGUAGAGGAAAAAAGAUUAGGAAAGAGUACAAUUUGAGCUCCAAGAAAAGAUAAAUAAACAUAAGAAGAAAGCCAGAAGAACCAAAUGCUGAAGAGAAAAAAUCCUCUAGGGUAGUUAUUAUUAAGUUCUGGGGAGCAUAGAAACCUUGGCAAUGGAAAACAAGUUUGACUCAUCUCCCAAGGAAAAUACGUAUUUCUAUAACUUUGCAUAGAAUUUCAGAAACUUUUCGAUUUGUUCACCAUCUCCCCUCAAAUGCUUAGUUAUUUUAAUUACUAGAAUAAAUGAAGAUACCUAAAUAUAGCCAGGAUAUUAUUUACAAUAAAUGUUUCUUUGAAACAAGCACCUGCUUGAAUAUUUAAUGAGUGGCUUAAUAUUAUUACACUCAAAAUAUAUAAGUAGAAUAUGGAAAAUUCAUCUUAAAUCUUAACAAACUCGAGUAAUUACUUAUUAAUUUAUUCAGUAAGAAGCCACCGCCUGUUUUGCUAAUCUGAGCUUGACUAGAUAUUGCCAAUUUAGUGACAUUAUUGCUGAAUUAUAGAGCACUUACAAACCAAGUAACUCUUGAAAAAUAUAAUCUGCAAAAAGUAAAUACUAAGACAAGGUGAUUAGUUAUGGAUUUUCCAAAUAUGACUCAUAUUAAAAAAUACAAUAGUAUGCCUCAAAUAAGAGAAAACAAUAGAAUGUUUCAGAAGACACAAAAAUGUAACUCACCGGUGUGAGCAUCUCAGGAUGUGCAGUCAAAUCAUGCCCACCCUGAAGUGGAAUUAAGGCCCCAGACGAAUCACCGCAAACUAUGUCUUGAGUGGAAUGCAAUAGCUCAUUAGAUUUUAGGAAGUUAAACUCUGCCUUUCCGGUUUGGGCAACGCACAAAUUGUAGGAAUAAGGCAAAGUCCCCUCACUGUAGUUAGGAGGAACCACAGGUCCAGACUUGACACAAAGACCAGGCUGAAAGCAGCCCCAGGCAGCGGGGCUGGGGGAGCGGCGCAGGCGCAGGGCCACCGCCAGAAUCACCGCAAGGAGGAAGAGCACCGAGAUCAAGGCCAAAGCCACCACCAGGUAAAACUGCAGCUCGGCCUGGGGGUCAGAGGGCUCCGGGCGGUCGCUGACAUCCGGCAGUACUUCUUGGAGGCUGUCGGCGAAAACCAGGUGCAGCGUCGCGGUGGCAGAGAGGGGCGGCUGUCCCCCGUCCCGCACGGCGACCAGCAGGCGCUGGCGGGCCGCGUCCCUGUCGCCCAAAGCACGCGCAGUGCGCACCUCGCCCGUGCGCAGCCCCAGGCUGAAGAGUCCGGGCUCGCUGGCCUGCAGCACGUGGUACGACAGCCACGCAUUGUGUCCCGAGUCGGCGUCCACCGCCACCACCUUGGUGACCAGGUAGCCGGGCUGCGCGGCGCGCGGCACCGUGUCGAAGAGCGCCGAGCCGUCGGGCCCCAGCGCCGGGUACAGCACCCUAGGCGCGUUGUCGUUGCGGUCGCCCACCAACACGCGCAGGCUCACGUUGGCGCUGAGCGCGGGCGAGCCCUGGUCGCGGGCCUGCACCGUCAGCUCGAAGGCGCGCAGCUGCUCGUGGUCGAAGGCGCGCUGCGCGAACACCACGCCGCUCUGCGCGCUCACGGACACGUAGGACGCCAGCGCCCGCGGCUCCAGGUCGCUGGCCACGAUGGAGUAGGACACGCGGCCGUUGGGCCCUAGGUCGGGGUCGGAGGCGCUGACUUGGGCGAUGGAGGCUCCUGGAGGGUUAUUCUCAGCCACGUGGACCACAUAGGAGGCCUGGUGGAAAAUCGGUGUGUUGUCAUUGACAUCGGUGAUGUGCAAGGUGAUGGUAGUGCUGGAGGAGAGGGGCGGAAUGCCCCUGUCAGUGGCUGUGAUGGUGACGUUGUAUUCUGGAGUCUGCUCUCGGUCUAGCGGUCCAUCUGUCACCAGCUUGUAGUAAUUAUUAGAAGAGGAGUAAAUCUUGAAAGGAAUAUCCUUUUCUAUGUUACAUGUGACUUCUCCAUUUCCCCCGAAAUCCUUGUCCCGUGUUUUGAAGAGAACAACCACCAUUCCUGGAAGAGAAUCCUCCAAAAUUUCAUCAGAGAGAGAGGUGAUGAUUAUUUCUGGCCUGUUGUCGUUUUCAUCUAGGAUUUCAAUGAUUACUUUACAUUGGGUAGAGAGUCCACCUCCAUCCCUUGCUUCCACUUCCAUGGUAUAUCUUUCUAUAUCCUCAAAAUCCAAUGACUGGUUAUUCUUAAUCAUACCUGUUUUCUCAUUCAGCAAGAACAUGUACCUUGUACUCUGAGCAGUGCUCCUGAAGUAGUAGUUCACUUCUGCAUUGACCCCCUCAUCCUUGUCAGUGGCUGUCACCUGCAACACGGAGGAUCCAGGGGGCAGAUUUUCACUAACACUGAUUCUGUAUUCAUCUUUGCUGAACACCGGAAAGUUAUCAUUAGCAUCCCUGACAGAGAUUUCUAUUCGAGUGGUGGCACUUCUUGGUGGGUUCCCCCCAUCCAAGGCAGUCAAUAUCAAGUGAUGAGAAUGCUGCUCUUCCCUGUCUAGGAGUUUUUCCAAAGUUAACUCUGGAUAUUUACCACCAUCGGAAUUAACUCUAACCAUUAAUGAGAAAUAAGGGUUAGGAUUUAUCUGAUAAUCUUUAACUGAGUUCAUGUUUAUAUCGGGGUCAGUGGCAGGGUCAAGGGAUAUUCGUGCACCUUCUGAUACAGAUUCAAAAAUUUCUAAAAGUAUUUCCUUUUUAUCGAAUUGAGGGGCAUGGUCAUUAAUAUCCUCAACAACAACAAUGAUAUGAAAGAUAUUUAAAGGAUUUUCCACCACGGCUUCCAACUGCAACUCACAUCUUCUUCUCUCUUUGCAUAUCUGCUCCCGGUCUAUUCGGUCCUUCACUAGUAAGUCCCCGCUCUCUGCGUCUACGUUGAAAAGCAGCUUCUCCGUGCUGACUCGCAGCUUCCUAGCUGACACGUCCAGGACACUGAGCCCGAGAUCCUUGGCGAGGUUCCCCACCACCGAGCCCUUGGCUAGUUCCUCGGGAAUCGAGUAGCGGAUCGGCUCGCAGAGCGCGGGGUAGAACAAAGGUAGCAGGAAGGGAAACAGUACUUGCCGCCUGCCGGCCGGGCGCCUCUGAACGCAGCUCCCUCCCAUUGCGCGCUCUAGUUCUCGCUGGGUCCCAGUCUUUCCGGAAAGUCAAAGAAACUGCAAUCCACGGCGUCACUGGAAGAGCGUUCCACCCAUGACAAGCGUACCUGGGAAUCCGUAAAUAUUGGGCAAAGUCUGCGCCUCCAGGAGACCCAGUUGUAUAAGCAGAUUUUCUUCUGUGUUGGUGACUGCCCAGGAAAUCCCAGGCUGGAGACAGAAAUCCCAGGCGACUGCGCUUGCCCUGUACUGGCCGACAGCGGCGCCCAGAGGCCCCGUGUGGAACCGCAGGCAUUUUCCUCUUGAAUCCAAUUGUUCUCUACAAUCUCUAUAAUAUAUAUAUUCCUCUUCGAAAUUCCUAUACAUAUUUAUAUAUAUGCCCUGUACUCUGUGAAGUGCUCCUGAGGUAGUUGUUUACUUCUGCAUAGACCCCCUCGUCCUCCUGAGUGGCUGUCAACUGCAACACGGAGGACUGGGGGCCAAUUACAUACAAAUAGAAACAUACGAUAUUUAUUUCUCUAUAUAUAGAAUAUGUAUAUAUUGCUUCUUGAAAAUGAACUUAUAUAAUAGCCCCUAAUUUUAUUAUUAUAUUAUUACAGACUAUAUGCUUAGUGUUUUAAAGAAAUUUAUUAUAGAAAAAUUUCAAACUUCUACAAAGUAGGGAAGAUUAUUAUUGAAUCUUCAUAUACUCAUCACCCAAUGACAAUAACGAUCAACACAAGGCCAUCUUCAUUUAAUAUAAUUUGUACACCCUCAUUAUUUUGAAGCAAAUCCAAGAUACUUUAACUCUUCUUUUAAGAUGAAACAUUAAGAUUAAUAAGGAUUUUAUAUUUAAGCCUAUUUUGUUAUAUACAAUGUUACCAAUACAAAAGUCUAUCUAGUUUAAGAAAACUAGAAUUCAACAUUUUCCACACUGCCCAUUCACCCAGUGAGCUUUGUGUUCUGUUUUAAAGGCAAGUGAUAUUAAUGGUAGAGAAUAGUAGUUACUGACCUACAAGCCUUCAUCACUAUGUUAUGUUUUUUCCCAAGUUAACACAUACUUAAUAUUUGUGAAUACUAAGUACCAAUGGUUACUCGCGAGGACAGAAACUUCAAGUGACAGUUUUCCUAUUUCAUAGUUAAAAAUAUGAUCCUGAAGCAUGCUUUAAUUUUUUCCUACUAAAUUAGGAGUAAGGAGUAUUUGAAAUCAGUAUAACAUCUGUAUGUCAUAAUGGCUGUCCAGAUGUUACCCCUAUUAGCCAGCACUUUUCAAAUAAAAUUUUUGAGUCAACUUCAUAGUUUAUUUUUAAAGUCUCCUAGAAAGUCAUUUAUUACUCGGAAUGCCACCAUGUUUAAAAUAAAAUGAAAUAGGGGCAUCUGGGUCGCUCAGUCAGUCAUGUUUGAUUUCAGCUCAGGUCAUGAUCUCGUGGUUUAAGAGUCUGAGCCCCACAUCAGGUUCUCUGCUCUCUGUGCGGAGCCUGCUUGGGUUCUUCUGUCCCCUCUCUGCCCCUCCCCCACUCAUUGCCCCCCUCCUCAAAAAAUAAACUUGAAAAAAUAUUAUUCCUUUCCUAUAUCUAAAAGCUAGUAAAAUAUUCUUAGAACCUCUUCCAGCAGUUCCUGAGAAUAUUUUCCUAAGUUGUCUUCCUUAUCCAGGUUUAUUUCUAGCCUCAAGGUUGGAGAAUUGAGCCAUAAAUAACAGACAGUUGAAUAAUUUUUAUUUCCCUUGUUUUGUCCUCAACAGUGUUCAUUCUCAGAAACCCCUCUAAGUGAAUUGUGAUUCUUCCUCAGAAGUGAUCUUUAAAUUCAAACAACCUCUACAAACAUGUGAUCUGGAAAACAUAACCUCAAAGGGGGGUUGUCCUAUAAUAGAAACAGAAAAGCAGAAGCAGAAAAAUCUGGGCUCUCAGUUUCUUCAAGAAGAAUGCAUGUGUUUUCUCAUUAAUUUACCUUCACAUAGUGUCAGCUGUAUUUAUGUUUCAGAGGUAUGUAAGAAGUUCAAAGAUAAGUAGGAAGUUCACUAUGUGGCCACUGAAGAUAGCAACAAUAAUAAAUUUCAGGAAUGGAAAACCACCUCUAAGAAUUAGUAGUGAACUGAUAAUCAACCAAGGAACCCCACCCCAAUAGCCCAUAUCAAUGGCUCAAUAAUGAGAGAAGCCCCAUGAAAAAGAUAUCCAUUGACCCUAGGUUAAUUUAGGUUAAUUAUGAGAAACUUAUAUCAGUGAUAUAACCAGUAAAUGCCUCCUAUAGAUGUUAGAACAAAACAAGGCCCAGUAAAACUUGGAUGGUGAGAAAUAUGUUAAAGAGAAUGUAUCAUACCUUAAGUGGAAACCUUAAAGAGAAAACCAAAUCAUAAGAGAAAAUAAAGGAAAAGGUUGAACUCACUGGAGCCAAAGAAGUAUUUUCUUUAAAAAAAAUUUUUUUUUAAUGUUUAUUUCUGAGAAGAGAGAGAGAGCGCGCAAGUGGAGGAGGGCAGAGGGAGAGGGAGACACAUCUGAGCAGGCUCCAGGCUCUGAGCUGUCAGCACAGAGCCCCACACAGGGCUCAAACUUGUGAACCGUGGGAUCAUGACCUGAGCGGAAGUUUGAUGCUUAAGUAACUGAGCCACCCAGGCGCCCCCAAAGAGGUAUUUUCUAUAGGAAACCUGGAAUCAUCUGAAGUGCACAAAUGGUCAUUUUUCCUGGAGCCCUCCUGGCUGAUCAGCAUAUUGUCAUACUUGGGCUGGGGAAAGAUCAUGUGACUCUCUCAGGAGCCUGCCCUGUGUGAGGCUUCCUGGAAUAGGUCUGCAGGAAAGCCCACACCUAUCCACGCCCACAAAGAAGUAGGCACAGCCAAUCCAAGCCUUGCAGCCUGCAGCAGAUUUGAGAUGUGCCAAUGCCACAACCUGAGCACACAAUGACAAAGGUGAGGAAGAUGCAGGACACUGCAGCCACUGUCACCACCAAGUAUAAUGUGAGGUCUGAGAUCUCUGGGUAGGUGAGGACCUCCAGACUGUUGAGGUCAGCCAGGCCACCUGGGAUGCUGUGGGCCAAGGCUGCAGUGAGGGUGAAAGUGGCCGAGAGAGGGGGCUGGCCUUGGUCCUGGACCACCACCACCAGGCUCUGCUUGAGCCAGUCUCUGUGCAGCAAGGCCCAUGCAGUGCACACCUUUCCUGUGUGGAGUUCUACCAUGAAGAGCCCUGGCUCACUGGCCUUGAACAGGUGGUAGGCCUGGUGUUCUGACACAAGUCUCUGUCUAUAGCCACCUUGGUCACCAGGUAGCCAGGUUCUGUGGAGCAGGGUACCAGUUCCAUGAUGGUGGAACAUGUCAGUGGGGAGAGUAGGGUCCAGGAUUUCUGGUGUAUUGUCCUUCUGGUCCAGCACAAACAAGUUCAGUGACAUGUUGCUGGUGAGUAGGGGGUUCCCACUGUCACUUGCCUUCACUUGCAUUUAAGAUCACAAAACUGCUCAUGUUGAAGGGAUGCAGUGUGUAUAUGAGCCAGUGUGUCGGAACUGGUGGAGACAUAGGACGACCCUUGGAUAGUGUCUUCAGCCAAGGAGUGAAUAACCUGGGCAUUCUUGUCACUGUUGGAAUCAUGGCCUGUCACUGAGAAGAUGAAGGUUCUUCUAUGGCUGUUCUUAAGGAGAUAGACUGUGUAGAAGUUUUCAGGGAAGGAAGGUGUACUGUCAUUGACAAUGAUCACAUGCAGGAUGAUGUAAAUUUCUGUCUGUUGUGGUCACUGUGAUGUUAUAUUCAGAAGUUUCUUCUCUGUCAAGAAUUCAUACUUUCAACAAUCUACAAUAAUCUAUUGACUUUUCUAAUUGAAAAGGUAAAUAAUGGAGUGCCUGGGUGGCUCAGCCGGUUGAGUGUCUGACUCGUGAUUUCAGCUUUAUGAUACCAAGGUCAUGGGAUCAAGCCUUGUGCUGGUGUCUGUACUGAGCAUGGAGCCUGCUUGGGAUUCUCCCUCUCCCUCUGCCCCUCCGCCACUCACAGUUUUGUGCUCUCUCAGAGGAAGGAGGAGGAGGAGGAGGAGGAGGAGGAGGAGGAGGAAGAGUAAAGAAAAAGAAAAAAAAAAAGAAAAGGUAAAUUAUGAGGAGUGUAACAGACAACUUGACCAUUCUUCCCGGAGUCUCGGUCAUGCACAUUCAAAAAGGCAAUUACUGUUCCAGGGAGAGUAUUUUCUAAGACUGGACUAAACAGAGAUGUAAUGAUCACUUCUGGCCUAUUGUCAUUUACAUCUUCCACUGAAAUGAGCACUUUGGUCCUCCCUAAAAGUGCCCCCACAUCUUCAGCUUGUAUUUCCAUUUCAUAAAAUGCACAUUCUUCAUAAUCUAGACUCCCUGCUGUUGAUAUUUCACCGGUAUUUUCAUUAAGAUGGAAUAGCGGAGAUUGCUUUUCACUAAUUUUCCAAAAUCUAUAGGCCACUUCUCCAUUGGCUCCCUCAUCUGGGUCGCUAGCGCUCACAGUAAGCAGCAGGGUGCCCGGGGCCACGUUCUCUGGGACUUUCACUCGGUAAAUCGGUUGAGUAAAAACCGGGGCAUUGUCGUUGGUAUCCAACACCGUCACGUGGAUGUGCACUGUGCUGGAGCGACGCGGGUCACCGCCAUCAGAGGCGAUGAGGAGCAGAUGGUGAGCAGCCUCUUCCUCUCGGUCCAGGGCCUGCUCCAGCACCAGCUCUGGGUGUAGAGUUCCGUCAUCUCCAGUCUGCACUUCCAGAGAGAAGUAGUGAUUGGGGCUGAGCUGGUAGCUCUGUAAGGAAUUCAUGCCCACAUCCGGGUCAACAGCCUCUGGGAGUGGGUAAUGUGUUCCCGGUGCAGCGAUUUCAUUAACUUUUACUUCCAGAUUUUCGACCUGGAAUUUUGGAUUAUUAUCAUUGAUAUCAGUGAUUUCUAUUUCUAUCCCAAAAAGUUUUCUUCUGCCCUCAACCAGGAUAUUGAUAUUUACUAGCCACUGUGUGCUCUGAGCGCAGAGUUCCUCCUAGUCUAUCCUGCCUGCAGUUCCUCCUAGUCUAUCCUGCCUGCAGUGACCAAGACAAGCCAUUUUGCAGGUUCAGAGCGAAAAACUGAGUCCUACUUCUGGAGACGAUGCAGACUCCACGGUCCACCAGCCCCAGAUCCUUGGAGAUAUUUCCCCAGGAUAUAGCCUUCUUCUGUCUCUUCAGGUGCCGAGUAGUGGAUCUGGCUGGCCCUGGUCUCCCAUAGCCUCCACAGGCACAGCAGAACCAGUCCUUUCCUGUGCGGGCAAUUCAGUGGAGUGGCUGUUGUUGCUUCACUAUGGAUAUUGUUUUUCAGAAUGCUUUCUGUGCAAACUGACUCCUUAGGUUCUUUAACCUCCUGCAAAUUAUGAUGAUCUUUUUCCUAAGGAGAAACCAGAGUGCCCCAAGAAGGUGAGUUUUGUGGCAGCUUUUGCUGAGGUUUGUGGGCUCUGUGGGACUCUGUGUAGUUGCAGAUCUGAACAGCUGGAUGGAGAGCUGAUUGAACUUUUCUUAAAGUUGGUGAACAGUGGCACUCGGAGUCCUAACCUGUCACUACAUGCACUGAGAUAAGUAAUGCUUGAUUAUAGAUAACCGAGAAAGACAAUACUCUUCUAACUAUGUAGACUUGUCUCACUGUUUCUCGCAUUCUCAUUUCAAAAGCAAUUACCAUUUUGGAAUGUUAGUUGAAAAUGAAGUGGAAUGGAACUUCUAUUAAAUGUAUUGUUAAACUGCCAUUUUUUCUUAACAUCAAAUUAACUUAUUCUUGGUAGAAUUUUGCUUUCUUUCUAGAUAUGUAAAUUAUUCUAACUUCAGUUUUAUAAUGUUUCAAAAAUUUUCUGUAUGUCAUUAUUUUCUACAGUAACCACAAUGUGCAAUCCUCUUUGGAAAUAGACUUCUUCUUCUUAGUUUUAUAUAUACAUGGAUUAUUCACUUUGAAGUUAUUUUAUAAGAUUAAUUUAUUCAGAUAAUGAAUUUGCUGGAGUAAGUUUUCCUUAAAAUUUCAUUCACAAAAAUAAUUUUAAUAAGGCAACAGUAAUAGCUUCUCUCACCUAAUACUGCUAAAUUUUGAAAGGAUUGGUUUUUUAAAGUUACAUAUUUGUGAAUGUUAAACUUUUAUGCUGGUUUAAAUUUUUUGUACUCUUCUAUGUGAAUACAUAAUGCAUACACAGGUUAUGGCAUUUGGAAUAUUCAAAUAAACAUAUAUUGAAAAGCAAGUUUCCACUUCAAUACUUCCAUAAAGAAAAUAUGCAGUUCAAAGUAGUCUUAAACUUCUUAUUGUAAAGGUCACUUAAAUCUGUAAUAAUUAGAGAAAAAGAACACAAGAUGUAGAACCAAUUAUUACCACUAAAAAGCAAAAAGUGCCAUUAUGAGAAAUUCUUACAGGGGCACCUGGGUGGCUCAGUCAGCUGAGCAUUCAACUCUUGAUUUCAUUCAAGUCAUGGUAUUACAAUUCAUGGGAUUGAGCCCCAAGUUGGGCUCUGCACUGACAUCAGGUAGCCUGCUUGGGAUUCUCUCCCUUUCCCUUUCUCUCUGCCCUUCUCCACCUCAAUAAAUAAAUAAACUUAAAAAAAAAAGAAAUUCUUUCAGGGGCACAUGACUGGUUCCAUCAGUUGAGCAUGUGACUUUUUUUUUUUAAGUUUCCUGAUUUAUUUUGAAAGAGAGCACAAGCAGGGGAGGGGCGGAGAGAGAAGGAGAGAGAAUCAUAAGCAGGCUCUACACUGUUGCACAGAACCUGACACGGGGCUUGACCCCCGAACCUUGAGAUCAUGAUCUGAGCUGAAAUACAGAGUCAGACGCUUAACUGACUGAGCCACCCAGGCGCCCCAAGCAUGGGACUCUUGAUCUCAGCCUCGUGAGUUCAAGCCCCAUGUUGACCUAGAGCUUACAUUAAAAAAAAAAAACAAAAAAAAAAACAAAAAAAAAACUCUUUCAGCAAUUUGUAAAGAAAUCAUUUACUGAAGCAGUUACUAGGGGAGACCAAGAAAAAGACUGAUAUUUAAGAAAUGGCAACUUUGCACAUAAAAUUAGUAAUUUUUGCCAUAAGAGUGGAAAAUUUGGGAUUCUCUUUCCUCUAAUCACUAAUGUUUAGAGCUCCAAAUAAUAAGACAAAUCCAGUGACUCACCCCCUCCUCCUGGCCUCAAGUGAUAGAGGCAACAGCAUUUCCUUUUCUUUUGUCAAGUGUCUUUUUCUUAAAUUAACUAUAAGCGUAGAGGAGGAUUUUGCAAUCAAGAAAACUUAGAGGAACACAGAUAAUGAACUGGACCUUCUAAUGAGUUUACUGAGUCUUUCUCUACGCCCUCCACCCACACUAUUUUCCUUACAGUUUUAGGGCAUUCACAGAGUCAUGACUAGGUAGAUACAAAGAACCAGACAUGAGGAAUAAACAUAAAAAAGAUGGAAACUGUACUAGUGAAAUCAGCAAAGGAGAUAGCUAGUAGUAGUUUUUUUGCUUUAAAAGAUGAGUUAAAUGAAUGCCUAUUUUAAAUUUAAUGUUUACUCACAUGUAACAAAAUUUCAAAUAUUUUAGGGGUCCCUGGAUGGCUCAGUUGGUUAAGCAUCCAACUUCAGCUCAAGCUAGAUUCCUGAGUUUGAGCCCCACAUCAGGUUCUGUCUGUGCUGACAGCUCAGACCCUAGAUACUCCUUCCAAUUCUGUCUCCCUCGCUCUCUGCCCCUCCCCCACUCACACUCUGUCUCUCUCUCAAAAAUGAAUAAACAUUAAAAAAAAAUUUUUAAGGGGCACCUGGGUGGCUCAGUCCUUGAGCAUCUGACUUCAUCUCAGGUCAUGAUCUCAAGGUUCUCUGUGCUGACAGCUCAGAGCCUGGAGCCUGCUUUGGAUUCUAUACCUCCCUCUCUCUCUGCUCCUCCCCCGCUUGUGCUCUGUCUCUCUGUCUAAUGAAUAAAUAUAACCCUUAAAAAAAUUAAAAAUUUUUUAAUUCAAAUAUUUUAAAUAAAUGAGGCAAUCAGUGGGUAAGUUUCAUUACCUUUGAAAAAAGCAGUAAGAAAUUGAUAUAAUACUUCUGCUGUGAAGUAAGAAGCACACUCUCCCUACUUUGUAAAUCUGAACUUGGUGCAAUAACUCUAUUGUAUAUUACAUAACUACUCCCAAAUCACCACUCUCUUUAAAAAAUGUUAGUACAGCUCUCUGAUGAGCUGUAAUACCCUUAAGACAACUCGCUAACCUUAGAACCAUAAUAUAUUUUCAUAGAAGUAUGAAAAACUGGAUAGAUGAUGAAAAGGAGUAGACACUUAAACAGAACUCACCGCCAUUUGAGUUUCAGGAUGGGAAGUCGACUCACUGGAAUUACAAAGCGGAAAUAAGGCCCCAGAUGAAUCACUGCAAAGUAGUAUAUCUUGUCCUGAACUCAACUGCUCAUUACAGUUUAGAAAAUUAAACUCUGUCUUUCCAGUCUGGGCAACGCACAAAUUGUAGGAAUAAGGCAAAGUCCCCUCACUGUAGUUAGGAGGAACCACAGGUCCAGACUUGACACAAAGACCAGGCUGAAAGCAGCCCCAGGCAGCGGGGCUGGGGGAGCGGCGCAGGCGCAGGGCCACCGCCAGAAUCACCGCAAGGAGGAAGAGCACCGAGAUCAAGGCCAAAGCCACCACCAGGUAAAACUGCAGCUCGGCCUGGGGGUCAGAGGGCUCCGGGCGGUCGCUGACAUCCGGCAGUACUUCUUGGAGGCUGUCGGCGAAAACCAGGUGCAGCGUCGCGGUGGCAGAGAGGGGCGGCUGUCCCCCGUCCCGCACGGCGACCAGCAGGCGCUGGCGGGCCGCGUCCCUGUCGCCCAAAGCACGCGCAGUGCGCACCUCGCCCGUGCGCAGCCCCAGGCUGAAGAGUCCGGGCUCGCUGGCCUGCAGCACGUGGUACGACAGCCACGCAUUGUGUCCCGAGUCGGCGUCCACCGCCACCACCUUGGUGACCAGGUAGCCGGGCUGCGCGGCGCGCGGCACCGUGUCGAAGAGCGCCGAGCCGUCGGGCCCCAGCGCCGGGUACAGCACCCUAGGCGCGUUGUCGUUGCGGUCGCCCACCAACACGCGCAGGCUCACGUUGGCGCUGAGCGCGGGCGAGCCCUGGUCGCGGGCCUGCACCGUCAGCUCGAAGGCGCGCAGCUGCUCGUGGUCGAAGGCGCGCUGCGCGAACACCACGCCGCUCUGCGCGCUCACGGACACGUAGGACGCCAGCGCCCGCGGCUCCAGGUCGCUGGCCACGAUGGAGUAGGAGACGUGGCCGUUGGGUCCCAGGUCGGGGUCGGAGGCGCUGACUUGGGCGAUAGAGGCUCCAGGAGGGUUGUUCUCCAUCACGUGAACCAUGUAGGAGGCCUGGAGGAAAACCGGAGCGUUGUCGUUGAUAUCAGUGAUGAUCAAAGUGACACUUUUGCUAGCUGAGAGGGGCGGCUUUCCCCUGUCGGUGGCUGUGAUGGUGACAUUGUACUCUGGGGUCUGUUCUCGGUCCAGAGUCCCAUCUAUUACCAAUUUAUAUGAAUUUUUUGAUGAAGAGAUUAUCUGAAAAGGAACUUCACCCUCUAAUCGACAACUAACCUCCCCAUUCUCCCCGGAAUCUUGAUCGUAUAUUUUGAUCAAAGCAAUUAGCGUUCCUGGCGCUGCGUUUUCCAGAAUCAUUUCGACUAGAGAAUGGAAUGUAAUUUCUGGGCUGUUGUCAUUUUCAUCCUGAAUAUUAAUUUCAACUGUACAUUGUGCAGCCAGUCCUCCACCAUCCCUCGCUUCCACCACUAUAGAAUAUUCCUUGAUUUCUUCGAAAUCCAGCAUUCUUAGAGUUGUAAUUUCCCCGCUCUUUGAAUUCAGACUGAAGACUUGCCCAGUCCUGUAGAAAGAAUAAGUGAUUUCCGAGUUGAUGCCUUCAUCUUGGUCAGUGGCUGAUACUUGCAGCACUGUGGUGCCUGGGGGCACGUUUUCUGGAAGGCUUACUCUGUACAUGUCCUGGUUGAAUACAGGGGGGUUAUCAUUGGCAUCAGUGACCUGGAUACGGAGCUCAGUGGUGCCGCUUAGUGGGGGAUCUCCGCCAUCCAUGGCAGUCAGAACUAAACGAUGGUAACUCUGUUGUUCCCGGUCUAAACGUUUCUCCAACGCCAAUUCUGGGUAUUUACUACCAUCUUGUUUCUCUUUAUUUAUCAAUGAGAAACUAGGGCUAAGAGAGAGUUUAUAAAUCCGCAGAGAGUUUAAGCCAAUAUCGGCAUCUUCCGCUGCUUCUAAUAUAAACCGUGUGCCUGGCACCGUAGACUCACUUAUUUGCAGCUCAAAAGAAGUUUGCGUGAAUUUUGGUGUGUGGUCAUUAAUAUCUUCGAUGUCCACACUCACGUGAUAAAAGUUCAACGGAUUUUCAGCAACAGCCUCAAAUUCCAGAGCACAGGCUGGCUUCUUCCCACAAAUCUGCUCCCGGUCUAGCCUGCCGCUCACAAGUAGCUCCCCGCUCUUGGCGCUCACAGUGAAGUAAGGUUUUUCCGAACUGAUGCGCAGUUGUCGACUCGGUAACUCAUGGACGCUGAGUCCCAAAUCCUUGGCGAGGUUCCCCACCACCGAGCCCUCGGGCAUUUCUUCGGGAAUCCGAUAGCGGAUCUGCUCUGAGAGCGCCGGGCAGAACAAAGACAGCAGGAAGGGAAAGAGCACUGGCCGCCUCUCAGCCCAGCCCCUUUCCCCAGCGCCGCUCCCCAUCCCUUUUGCUCCCCUCAGGUUGCUCACCGGCCUGGAGACGCCGGAUUACAAAUAAUCUCUGUGCUGCAGAUGUCCGGAGCUCCGAACAGGCUAUAUUUCCAGCGUGAGGGUCGGGUUCCCUCUUUUCCAGAGGAGGAAGUUGUGUAAAGGCUCGAGCUAGAGAGCCUGAUACAGGGAAAGUGCGCUGCGGCUGCGCGAGAAGAUGGCCAGUGCCCAAGCUCUGCACUUUGGCCAACAGCGGCGCCCACAGUCCGCACUGGGAAACUGCAGCCCUGCUGCUUCAGUUUAACCAGCUACAAUAAUCACAAUCCAGCGCCUAACUGAACAAGCCACGCUUUAAUGUUAAUAUAUUUAAUAUCUUAAAUUAUAAAGCCUUCUUUAAUAUAUACUUUCUCUUGUUUCCAAAUUAUUAGAAAUGUGAUGAGUUUUUAUAUUAACCGACAUAUCUGGUCUAUCCAUUUCACCCUACUACAAACAUACAUUGAACUCUUGCCUUGUACUUAGUAGUGCCCUUGUCAGUGAUGAUAUAACAAUGCAACAAUGAAUAAGACACAGGUCUUGACCUUCGAAAUUUUAUCAUAUACUGUAUUCACAAAUUCAUUUCUGUUUAUUAGGUAUGAUAUGUGAAACAAUCUUAAUCUUCUUUCAUGAUUCCUAAAUGUUUCCCCCAACAUCUCUACAUUAUAAAUGUUAUUUAAUAUCAUAUGUAUUAGAGAAUACCAACAGUGUUGAAAACUAUUCUGUAAAGCUUUGCAGUUUCAUACCAAUCCUCAAGCAUCUCCUUCUGAUAAUAUCAACACUCUCUUCAAAAAAUUUCUUUUUACUCGUUUGACUACCUAAGGAAGCAUUCAUUUUUAAAAAACCUGUCCCUAUGAUGUAGCCAAGGGAUGAUUUACUCUACCUCCUUCUUCAUAUCUCACAAUUACUUGGCUUAUGUCAUACCCAACAUCAUACAUGAAUUCAUUCUUAAAAGUCACUAGGGAAAUGUUUAUUCUUCAAUAUAAAGUCACAAAGGGAUACUUCAGCAGACCACCUGACUUUCUGAUCUAUGUAUCUAUGUAAUACUGAAGCAAUGACUUUGGAAUUGAGCUUCUGGUAAGUUUAUUUGCAUAAAUUUCCUGGAUAAAUGUCAUUUGUUCUAAUUAUUUUAUUUCAUUUGUUGAAAUUUUUGAUCAGUGAAUCUUUUGAACAAGAGUAAGGAUUUUAUUUUCUAUCAGGGCAAGUUUCAAAACACUUAAAAAUUGCAAAAUGUCAAUAAUACAGUUGUUCCCUCAAAUGACUGUGCACCCAAACACUACAGAAAAUACAAAGUUAACUCCCACGCACAGGAUGUGCAAAAUAGGAGGGAACACUACACAAUCCUUCAGACAUGCCCUUUUUAUAACUAACAAAUGAUUUAUUGUGUUUUCCACUCUCAUGUGAUGACAAAUCAAUGGUAAGCACUGUUAAAAUGCUAUAACAAGGAAUACAGACGACAUAAAAUCUAGAUGGAAUCAUUUUUAGUUGAAUUGAUGAGCUUGUUUAGAAUCUGUUUACAUGAAACUACUUUUUUUUUAAACUACAUUCUCAAACUCUCUCACCAUGAGAACAUUUCACAUGGCUGUCCAAUCAAAACAGCUCAUUGGAACUUAGUGAAAACAUGUUCUUCUUUAGGCUACAAAAUGACAUUUUAUUUAAGUAUGAUUUUGUUGUUUUUAUUGGGCGGGGGGUUGAUGGACAUUUCAGGCUUUAGAUUCUACGUCUUCUUUAGUAUGAGCUCUUGGAGACCAAUGACACAUAAAGGAACCAGUCUCACCUACCACCAAAAUCCAUCCUUUCAAAUGUAUUUAUGUUUUAAAAUAUAAUAAGUAUUAAAAUUUUGAAGGGUACUGAUGCAAGCACAAGGCUUAUAAAAGAGGUUUAAAAUGAAGAAAUCCUCAAAGACCUAGAAAACUUCAAGACCUUCAAGAUCCAAAUCCUAAACAGAUUUCUAAAAUUCUGAAAUGUAUUUUACUUUUACCAAGCUAAUACAAGGAUUUAAAAGUCUCAGUUAUAUAUCCCCUAUUUAUACAACAAACUUACCAUAUGUGGUUGGGUAACUACUUCUUAAGUGAAUGAGUGAUAAGUGGUAAUUAUAGUAACAUACAAAGGAUUUUAUUUUUUAAAAAUUUUAAAGUAAUCUCUACAUGUAAAGUGGGGCUCCAACUCACUACCCUGAGAUCAAGAGUCACGUGCUUUGCCAAUUGAGCCGGCCAGGUGCCCCAUAUAUGGAAGAUGUUAAAAGGUUGAGAAUCAAUGUUUAAACAAUCUUGUCCGAGCCUUUGGAGAGCAAAUGAAACCAACUAUCAUGAUUAGAGCUCAAUUUUAUAGUAUCACCACUAAAACAAGCCAAAAACUUUGUGGUACACUUUUUCAAAAUAUUUUGAACUGUCUCCGCAAUGUAUGUCCGAAAAAAUAAAUUUAUAAAAAAUAUAAUUUCCCUGAGAAUUAAAACGCACACAGAACUGAACUCACCUGAAUAGAAGCAGCUUCAUCCUUACAUUCAUGAAAAUCUACGGAUGUUAAUAAGGGAUCAUUUUUCUCACAACUCUCCAGACUGAUAAGUGUGUCCACGUAGUUGGGAUGGGGGAAAAUCUCGUGAUUCGCCUGCGAGUCCGCGGUGAGGGAGACCUCGUGGGAAUACUUCUCCAGGAAAGCCUGCACCCCGUCUACGCCCACAAAAUGCGAGGCGGGCACGCCCACCAGCCCGCCUUCUGAAGACUGAAGCAGGCGCGUCGAGUGCCAGCGCCUCAGCCUGAGAGCCAGCAGCACGAUCACAAAGGCAAGGAAGACACAGGAGACUGCGGCCACUGCCACCACCAGGUACAGCGUGAGGUCAGAAUCGUCUGAGUUGGCAGAGGUCCUGACGCUACCCAGGUCGGCCAGGACGGCUGGAAUGCUGUCGGCCACCACCACGGUGAGCGUGACCGUGGCCGAGAGAGGGGGCUGGCCAUGGUCCUGCACUGCCACCACCAGGCUCUGCUUGAGCGCAUCUCUGUCCUGCAGGGCCCGUGCUGUGCGCACCUCGCCCGUGUGCAGCCCCACCGUGAAAAGUCCUGGCUCACUGGCCUUGAGCAGGCGGUAGGACAGCCAGGCAUUCUGGCCAGAGUCUCUAUCCACCGCCACCACCUUGGUCACCAGGUAGCCAGGCUCUGCAGAUCGGGGCGCCAGCUCCACACCUGUGGAACCGUCCGUAGGGAGGGUGGGGUACAGGAUCUCUGGCACGUUGUCAUUCUGGUCCAACACAAAUAUGCUCACAGACACGUUGCUGCUGAGUGGAGGGUCUCCGCUGUCUCUGGCAGUCACCAGUAGCUGCAAGUCUCGUAAGUGCUCAUAGUCGAAGGAGCACAGUGCAUAUAGGACGCCUGUGUCUGAGUUGAUGGAGACAUAGGAGGAGACAGGUGACCCCAUGAUGAUGUCCUCAGUCACAGAGUAAGUGACCUGGGCAUUGUUGCCACUGUCAGGGUCGUGGGCCAUCACAGUGAAGAUGGAGGCACCUCUGGGGUUGUUCUCUGGGAUAUACGCUGAGUAGGAGGCAUGAGGGAAAGUGGGUGGAUUGUCAUUGGUAUCUGCCACAUACAGGGUGAUAUGAAUUUCAGUAGAUAGAGAAGGGGUUCCUAGAUCUGAGGCCGUCACUGUGAUGUUGUACAUAGGGAUCUUUUCUCGGUCCAGAUAGUUCCAUGUCACCAAUCUAUAAUAAUUAUCUAUUGAUUUUUCUAAUUGAAAAGGUAGAUUAUGAGGUGCAUAACAGACAACUUGACCAUUCUUCCCGGAGUCUCGGUCAUGCACAUUCAAAAAGGCAAUUACUGUUCCAGGGAGAGUAUUUUCUAAGACUGGACUAAACAGAGAUGUAAUGAUCACUUCUGGCCUAUUGUCAUUUACAUCUUCCACUGAAAUGAGCACUUUGGUCCUCCCUAAAAGUGCCCCCACAUCUUCAGCUUGUAUUUCCAUUUCAUAAAAUGCACAUUCUUCAUAAUCUAGACUCCCUGCUGUUGAUAUUUCACCGGUAUUUUCAUUAAGAUGGAAUAGCGGAGAUUGCUUUUCACUAAUUUUCCAAAAUCUAUAGGCCACUUCUCCAUUGGCUCCCUCAUCUGGGUCGCUAGCGCUCACAGUAAGCAGCAGGGUGCCCGGGGCCACGUUCUCUGGGACUUUCACUCGGUAAAUCGGUUGAGUAAAAACCGGGGCAUUGUCGUUGGUAUCCAACACCGUCACGUGGAUGUGCACUGUGCUGGAGCGACGCGGGUCACCGCCAUCAGAGGCGAUGAGGAGCAGAUGGUGAGCAGCCUCUUCCUCUCGGUCCAGGGCCUGCUCCAGCACCAGCUCUGGGUGUAGAGUUCCGUCAUCUCCAGUCUGCACUUCCAGAGAGAAGUAGUGAUUGGGGCUGAGCUGGUAGCUCUGUAAGGAAUUCAUGCCCACAUCCGGGUCAACAGCCUCUGGGAGUGGGUAAUGUGUUCCCGGUGCAGCGAUUUCAUUAACUUUUACUUCCAGAUUUUCGACCUGGAAUUUUGGAUUAUUAUCAUUGAUAUCAGUGAUUUCUAUUUCUAUCCCAAAAAGUUUUCCUCUGCCCUCAACCAGGAUAUUGAUAUUUACUAGCCACUGUGUGCUCUGAGCGCAGAGUUCCUCCUAGUCUAUCCUGCCUGCAGUUCCUCCUAGUCUAUCCUGCCUGCAGUGACCAAGACAAGCCAUUUUGCAGGUUCAGAGCGAAAAACUGAGUCCUACUUCUGGAGACGAUGCAGACUCCACGGUCCACCAGCCCCAGAUCCUUGGAGAUAUUUCCCCAGGAUAUAGCCUUCUUCUGUCUCUUCAGGUGCCGAGUAGUGGAUCUGGCUGGCCCUGGUCUCCCAUAGCCUCCACAGGCACAGCAGAACCAGUCCUUUCCUGUGCGGGCAAUUCAGUGGAGUGGCUGUUGUUGCUUCACUAUGGAUAUUGUUUUUCAGAAUGCUUUCUGUGCAAACUGACUCCUUAGGUUCUUUAACCUCCUGCAAAUUAUGAUGAUCUUUUUCCUAAGGAGAAACCAGAGUGCCCCAAGAAGGUGAGUUUUGUGGCAGCUUUUGCUGAGGUUUGUGGGCUCUGUGGGACUCUGUGUAGUUGCAGAUCUGAACAGCUGGAUGGAGAGCUGAUUGAACUUUUCUUAAAGUUGGUGAACAGUGGCACUCGGAGUCCUAACCUGUCACUACAUGCACUGAGAUAAGUAAUGCUUGAUNGCACUGUGCUGGAGCGACGCGGGUCACCGCCAUCAGAGGCGAUGAGGAGCAGAUGGUGAGCAGCCUCUUCCUCUCGGUCCAGGGCCUGCUCCAGCACCAGCUCUGGGUGUAGAGUUCCGUCAUCUCCAGUCUGCACUUCCAGAGAGAAGUAGUGAUUGGGGCUGAGCUGGUAGCUCUGUAAGGAAUUCAUGCCCACAUCCGGGUCAACAGCCUCUGGGAGUGGGUAAUGUGUUCCCGGUGCAGCGAUUUCAUUAACUUUUACUUCCAGAUUUUCGACCUGGAAUUUUGGAUUAUUAUCAUUGAUAUCAGUGAUUUCUAUUUCUAUCCCAAAAAGUUUUCCUCUGCCCUCAACCAGGAUAUUGAUAUUUACUAGACACUGUGUGCUCUGAGUGCAGAUCUCCUCCCGGUCUAUCCUGCCCGCCGUGAUCAAGCUACCAGUUCUCCAAUCCAGAGCAAAGAGCUGUGUCCUACCUCUAGAGACGAUGUGGACUCCGUGCUUCACCAGCUCUUGUGACUCCAGAUUCAGGUCCUUUGAGAUAUUACCCACAAAGGAUCCUUUGUCGCUCUCUUCUGGCACCGAAUAGUGGAUCUGUCCUCUCCCGAUUUCCCAGAGCGUGCCCAAUAGAGUGUACAGCAGGACCAGCUUGCCGCGUCUCUGGUAAUGCUUUGGAGCGGCCAUUGUUCUUUCGCUACUGAAUCCACUCAGAAUCUUCACUGGGCAUAUGCGUCUUGUUUACCUUUUUGCUGCAGCUAUGGAGAUCAUCUUAUAUAAAGCUGGAGUGUCUCAGAUUUAGGAACGGAGUUUCGCUGCAGCUUUGCAGUUGGUCUGUGGGAACUGUGAGUCUUUGCAAGAUGGGUGCCUUUAUUAACAGGAUGGCGUUUGGUUAAAUUUAUCUCCAAGUAGGUGAACAGCGGCGCUUAGAGUCCUAAGCAGUUACUGCACCCACUUAGAUAAGUAAUAGUGUAUGCCAGGUUAUUGAGAGAAAAAAAAUUAUUCUUGCCUUUUAUAGUUUGUUUUUAAUGUGUUUAACUUGUCUCUGAAUUCAUAUUUUAAAAGUAAUUGCCAAGAAGCACGGGAUGAAGUAGGGUUAAAGUUUUAUAAAGUAUUAUUAAGUGAUAUCAAAAGAUUUAUGGGUUAGUCUCACAUUACUCACAUUUCUGGAAUACAUUUACUCUUAAAAUGUAAACAAUUAAAAUUUUAUUUUGUGCUAUGCCCUAAGCUGUAUUGUAAAUCUAUUAUCAAAUGAGUAGGGAUUCCAGUUGUCACUGGAAAUUCAUUCAUUUUUAGAAUAAAGUAGACCUAUUGGAGAUGACUGACUCAGAAGGUGUUUUAUUUCAUGUAAACUAAUUAAUCAUUAUAGUAAGCUCUCAGUUGCUUUUUAGAUAUUCUUUUAAAAUGCCAUUUUAAUUACAUAUUGAUAAUGUUUUCAAAUUAACAUUUUGAAAUUUAACAGGAUAAAUGCUUUUACUUUCAAGUGUCAUCAUCAAAGACUAUAUUGUUUUGUUAUUUUACAUAUUUAUUUAGUUAGUUAUUGCAUUAUUUAUUUUUAAGUAAUCUCUACACCCAACAUGGAGCUUGAACUCACAACCCUGAGAUCAAGAAUCGCAUGCUGUACCAACCAACCCAGCCAGGCAACCUGUUUAGCUACUUUAUUUAAAUUAUGUAUUUUUUCUAUUUGAAUAGAAAAUGUUUAAAAAAUAUCAACGAAUACACAACAAAAAGCCAAUCCCCAGCCUAUUCUUCCACAAAUGAGAGAUGAUUAUAUUUCAGUGCAGACUUAAUUAACUUCUUAUGAAAGACAUAUAUUCCAAAGUUAAUUUUACCCUAAUUAGUAUUUUGAUUCAGAGAACCACAAAAAGAAACACGUAAUUAUCACUAAACAGUCAGAAAGUGUCAAUACAGAAAAAAAACUACGUCUCUUUUCUUCAGCAGUUUGUUAAGUGGCUAGUAACUGAAGCGGCUGCUAACAGAAAUCUACAAAUGUAUUAUUUACUAUUACACUUGUAUGCACAUCAGAGUGGCAAUUUUGUCUAAAAUUUGAAGAACUGAAGACUAUUUUUCUCCUAGAGAUAAUAGAAUGACUAGAAGACCUCUAGCUAUAUUAGCUUAGGGCUGCAAAAAAGACAGUUCAAAAUGAUACAGGAGUGUGUGUGUGGAAAACCUGUGCUGCAAGUAAAAGAAAAUGCUUUUUAUCUUCUGGUGAGCAUAAUGAUCUAACUGCUAAGUAAAAUGCUUUUACACACACACAGUUCAUUGCACACAAUUGCAAUGUGUCUAUCUACAUAACAAUCCAUGUUAAGAUACCUUAUUCCAGAAGGUUCUGAAACAAAGGGGAGUAAAUACAAGAAACAACACAACAGUUAAAUCAGUUAAGAAAAAUGUCUAAUUUUAGCGUAACUUUUUUUGUUAAAGGUUUAUUUAAAUGCCUGUCCACUUUUACAUUUACACAAUGUCCAAGUUAAAAAAUUAAUAUAUUAGGUAAGAAGAAGAAAACUUAGAAAAAAGUCCCAUUAGCUUUUAGGAGAUAGGCUAUAACAUCAUCUCUUUCCCUUUGUUGAUAAAACCACACUCUCACUGCUUUGUAGAUCUGAGCCUGGUAAGACACCCCUAAAAGACACAUAACUGCUCCUAUUUCAACUUUCCUUGAAGAAUAGUAUGACAGCUUUUUUACUUUUUAAAGAAACGUUUAGAUCUACAAAUUGUAUCUUUUCCUAUGAAUAUAAAGAAUUGGAUAGAUUGUAAGAAGCAGGUUAUGCUUAAAAGAAACUCACCAGAUGGGAGGUUGACUCACUGGAUUUGCAAAGUGGAAAUAAGGCCCCGGAUGAAUCACCACAAAGUAUGUCUUGCUCUGAACUCAAUUGCUCAUUGCACUUUAGAAAAUUAAACUCUGUCUUUCCAGUAUGCGCAACGCACAAAUUGUAGGAAUAAGGCAAAGUCCCUUCACUGUAGUUGGGAGGAAUCACAGGUCCUGAUUUUUCACAGAGACUGUACUGAAAGCAGCCGCAGGUGGUGGGGCUGGAGGAGCGACGAAGGUGCAAGGCUAUGGCCAGAGUCACUGCCGUGAGGAAAAGCACUGAGAUCAAGGCCAAAGCCACCACCAAGUAAAACUGCAGCUCGGCCUGGGGGUCAGAGGGCUCCGGACGGUCGCUGACAUCCGGCAGUACUUCUUGGAGGCUGUCGGCGAAAACCAGGUGCAGCGUCGCGGUGGCAGAGAGGGGCGGCUGUCCCCCGUCCCGCACGGCGACCAGCAGGCGCUGGCGGGCCGCGUCCCUGUCGCCCAAAGCACGCGCAGUGCGCACCUCGCCCGUGCGCAGCCCCAGGCUGAAGAGUCCGGGCUCGCUGGCCUGCAGCACGUGGUACGACAGCCACGCAUUGUGUCCCGAGUCGGCGUCCACCGCCACCACCUUGGUGACCAGGUAGCCGGGCUGCGCGGCGCGCGGCACCGUGUCGAAGAGCGCCGAGCCGUCGGGCCCCAGCGCCGGGUACAGCACCCUAGGCGCGUUGUCGUUGCGGUCGCCCACCAACACGCGCAGGCUCACGUUGGCGCUGAGCGCGGGCGAGCCCUGGUCGCGGGCCUGCACCGUCAGCUCGAAGGCGCGCAGCUGCUCGUGGUCGAAGGCGCGCUGCGCGAACACCACGCCGCUCUGCGCGCUCACGGANNNNNNNNNNNNNNNNNNNNNNNNNNNNNNNNNNNNNNNNNNNNNNNNNNNNNNNNNNNNNNNNNNNNNNNNNNNNNNNNNNNNNNNNNNNNNNNNNNNNNNNNNNNNNNNNNNNNNNNNNNNNNNNNNNNNNNNNNNNNNNNNNNNNNNNNNNNNNNNNNNNNNNNNNNNNNNNNNNNNNNNNNNNNNNNNNNNNNNNNNNNNNNNNNNNNNNNNNNNNNNNNNNNNNNNNNNNNNNNNNNNNNNNNNNNNNNNNNNNNNNNNNNNNNNNNNNNNNNNNNNNNNNNNNNNNNNNNNNNNNNNNNNNNNNNNNNNNNNNNNNNNNNNNNNNNNNNNNNNNNNNNNNNNNNNNNNNNNNNNNNNNNNNNNNNNNNNNNNNNNNNNNNNNNNNNNNNNNNNNNNNNNNNNNNNNNNNNNNNNNNNNNNNNNNNNNNNNNNNNNNNNNNNNNNNNNNNNNNNNNNNNNNNNNNNNNNNNNNNNNNNNNNNNNNNNNNNNNNNNNNNNNNNNNNNNNNNNNNNNNNNNNNNNNNNNNNNNNNNNNNNNNNNNNNNNNNNNNNNNNNNNNNNNNNNNNNNNNNNNNNNNNNNNNNNNNNNNNNNNNNNNNNNNNNNNNNNNNNNNNNNNNNNNNNNNNNNNNNNNNNNNNNNNNNNNNNNNNNNNNNNNNNNNNNNNNNNNNNNNNNNNNNNNNNNNNNNNNNNNNNNNNNNNNNNNNNNNNNNNNNNNNNNNNNNNNNNNNNNNNNNNNNNNNNNNNNNNNNNNNNNNNNNNNNNNNNNNNNNNNNNNNNNNNNNNNNNNNNNNNNNNNNNNNNNNNNNNNNNNNNNNNNNNNNNNNNNNNNNNNNNNNNNNNNNNNNNNNNNNNNNNNNNNNNNNNNNNNNNNNNNNNNNNNNNNNNNNNNNNNNNNNNNNNNNNNNNNNNNNNNNNNNNNNNNNNNNNNNNNNNNNNNNNNNNNNNNNNNNNNNNNNNNNNNNNNNNNNNNNNNNNNNNNNNNNNNNNNNNNNNNNNNNNNNNNNNNNNNNNNNNNNNNNNNNNNNNNNNNNNNNNNNNNNNNNNNNNNNNNNNNNNNNNNNNNNNNNNNNNNNNNNNNNNNAAGUUCAACGGAUUUUCAGCAACAGCCUCAAAUUCCAGAGCACAGGCUGGCUUCUUCCCACAAAUCUGCUCCCGGUCUAGCCUGCCGCUCACAAGUAGCUCCCCGCUCUUGGCGCUCACAGUGAAGUAAGGUUUUUCCGAACUGAUGCGCAGUUGUCGACUCGGUAACUCAUGGACGCUGAGUCCCAAAUCCUUGGCGAGGUUCCCCACCACCGAGCCCUCGGGCAUUUCUUCGGGAAUCCGAUAGCGGAUCUGCUCUGAGAGCGCCGGGCAGAACAAAGACAGCAGGAAGGGAAAGAGCACUGGCCGCCUCUCAGCCCAGCCCCUUUCCCCAGCGCCGCUCCCCAUCCCUUUUGCUCCCCUCAGGUUGCUCACCGGCCUGGAGACGCCGGAUUACAAAUAAUCUCUGUGCUGCAGAUGUCCGGAGCUCCGAACAGGCUAUAUUUCCAGCGUGAGGGUCGGGUUCCCUCUUUUCCAGAGGAGGAAGUUGUGUAAAGGCUCGAGCUAGAGAGCCUGAUACAGGGAAAGUGCGCUGCGGCUGCGCGAGAAGAUGGCCAGUGCCCAAGCUCUGCACUUUGGCCAACAGCGGCGCCCACAGUCCGCACUGGGAAACUGCAGCCCUGCUGCUUCAGUUUAACCAGCUACAAUAAUCACAAUCCAGCGCCCAACUGAACAAAUUAUUUUUAUAUGUUCAUAUAUUUAAUGAUGAUUAAUUUGCACUAUUAACUACAUAGUUAUCCCAAAUUUCCAGGGUUUAGGGUAAUCAACAUGUUGACAUGCAUCUCAAAUCCGCACUGUAAUACAAAGAUUACUAUAACACAUACUUGGCCUAAAUGAUCUCAGAAUACAGUAAUUUUGAAUAGUAAUAUGAGUAAAGUUUUUUCCUUCUUUCCUCAUUCCCGUUUUUCCUGAUUUCAUUAGUUUUUGGGUAACUCCAUGCUGAUUCAUUUCAAUUUUUCAGAAAGCAUCAGUAAUGCUGAAAUUGUCUUUAAAAGGGCACAAUUUAUAUUUAACUCUAAACCCUCUUCUUUCAAAAUAGUUUCAGCAAUUUCUUUAUAGUAGUAUCAUAUGACCUACGUGUCACCUAUUUAAGAAAAUGACAGCUGGAAAAACAUUAGCCUAUUCCUCCUUUGCAUUGCACAAUUAUUUUCCUGGUUAUAAAAUAUAACAUCAACCUUGAAAGUUAGCAGGGAAAUAUAGUUUGACUUGCAACACAAGGUCACUAACCGUGGUCUACUGCAGUGAGGUUCUGGCUCCCACUUCUGUGCUUAAAUUGAACAUCACAUGAUGAGCUCAAUUAAUAAAAUAAUCCCUAGGAUAUUCAAUUGCAGUAGCAUACUGAGUUUAGGUCACUUUCCCUUCUUGAAAAAUAUUUUUAAGUAUCUAAUGAAUUUGGGGAUAUUCUUUUUCAAAAUACCUGAUAAUCAUAUUUCUGCCUCACCAAGUAUCAGUUAUUGUCUUCUCAAGUGAUUGUACAUCUGAACACUGCAAAAUAUAUGAAACAUACUUCCACACUAUUGCACAGCCCAAUUUAUGCAAAAUACCACCAAACACAAUACUAUGCUAGAAAAAAGUCCUUUUAUUUAACACCCAAAAGGUUACUAUACCCAGGAAGAGUUAGCCUAUCCCCCUCCUUUCUAUUGAAGAAUUAUUUUCCUGGUUACAAAAUGUAACAUCAAUCUUCAAAGUUACAAAGGGAAUAAUAUUUUGCAUAGUUCCUAGUAAACAAGUAGGUCCAAGUAAACAAAAUUACUUGUCAUCAACCCCUUCUAGUUGCUAAUCAACUGAUGUACUGAGCUUUAGUAAAAUGUUAUAUAAUGAAUAUAAAUGUAGUUAACCCCAGAUUGGGUUAUUUCUAACUGAAUUUUUUUUAGCAGAUCCAAUAAGUUGAAUCAACUUCUGGUCUUGAGUAUACAAAAUUGUUGUUUCAUAAAGCAAGCAUCCCCAAUCUCCCACUAGGAGAGCCCAUAAACACACUUCACAUGGCUGUACUGCUAACACAGUACAAUGAAAUUUUGUCUUAAAACAUAUAUAUGCUUAUUUCACAAGUGCAACUUGAAAUGACACUUUAUUUGAUGUCAUAUUUUAUUGGUUUCAGGCACUAACCUUUAGUGUGGCAUUAGAUCCCUAUCUCUCAUUGAUAUAGGUCUUAGUGAAGCUUGACACACACAUUCCAUUCUUUAGGCAUCAGUCUAACCUUCUACCAGGAUAUAACUUUAAUAGAUGAUUAUGCUUUAAAAUGUCAGGAAGCAAAAUAACACCUCACACUUGUCAGAAUGGCUAAAAUCAAAAACACAAGGACUGACAAAUGUUGGUGAGGAUGUGGAGAAAAAGUAACCCUCCUGGAUUGUUGGUGGGAAUGCAAACUGGUGCAGCCACUGUGGAAAACAAGUUGGAGGUUCCUCAAAAAGUUAAAAAUAUAACUAAGAUAUUAUCCAGUAAUGGUGCCACUGGGUAUUUACCCUCAAGAUACAAAAAUACAGGGGUACCUGUGUGGCUCAGUUGGCUGACCAGCAGACUCUUGAUUUUGGCUCAGGUCAUGAUCUCGCGGUUCAUGGGAUCCAGCGCCUGUCGGGCUCUGUGCUCACAACACAAAGCCUGCUUGGGAUUCUCUCCCUCUUCUCUCCCCCACCCCCACACACGCACACUCUCUCAAAAUAAAUAUUUUUUAAAAAGAUACAAAACCACUAAUCCAAAGGGAUGCACAUACCCCAAUAUUUGCAGCAGCAUCAUUUAAACUAGCUAAACUAUGGAAAUAGUCCAAGUAUCCAUUGAUGAAUGGAUAAAGAAAAUUUAUAUAUAUAUACACAUAUACACAUACACAUACACUUACAUACAUAUCCAUACACACACACACACACACACACACACACACACUGGAAUAUUAUUCAGCCACAAAAAGAAUGAAAUCUUGUCAUUUGCGAUGACAUGGAUGGAGCUCAAGAGUAUAAUGCUAAGUGAAAUAAGUCUGUCAGAGAAAGACAAAUACCAUAUGAUUUCACUCAUAUGGGAAUUUAAGAAAUGAAACAAAUAAGCAAGGGGAAAGUGAGAGACAGAGAGAAGCCAAGAAACCGAUUCUUAAUUAUUGAGAAUAAACUGGUGGUUAUCAGAGGGGAGGUGGGUGAGGGGAAUGGGUGAAAUAGGUGAUAGGUUAAGUAGUGCAUUUGUCAUGAUGACCACUGGGUGAUGUACAGAAUUGCUGAAUCACUAUAUCGUACACCUGAAACUAAUAUAACACUGUAUAUUAACUAUACUGGAGUUAAAAUUUUUAAAUAUGUCAGGAAGCAACUGAGAUUUUCAAAGUCAUAAAGUUGAGGUAUAUGGAGGCAGAAGAUCUUCAAGAACCUUUCCUAGAUCUAAUCUAAAAAGAAUCCUGACAAGGUGUAUGAGCUGUAUUUUCCUCUUGCUAACCCAGUGCAAUGAAAAACAUGUAACAAUUUAUUCUCAUUUAUAAAACACAUGAAUUGAGAACACUGAAGGGAAAAUACAUGGAAGGUAUAAAAAUGUGACAGUCCACUUAUUCACAGUCUUGUAUAGGCUUUCACUAAGGAAAUGACACCAAAACCUAUGUCAAUAAGUGUUCUAUGUUAAAUAAAUCGGUUAACUUGCUUUUGUCUCUUACAUUUUUAAAACAUUUGUUUCACAAUACAGUAAAGAAAAUUACACAAAAUAUAAUUCCUCAAGGAUGUAAAGAUAAAUGUAUUAGUGAACUCACCUGAAUAUUUUCUGCUUCGUCCUUACAUCCAUGAAAAUCUAUAGAUGUUAAUGAGGGAUCUUUUUUCUCACAGCUCUCCAGACUGAGGAGCAUGUCUGCAUAGUUGGGCUGGGGGAAGAUCAAGUGACUCUCCCUGGAGUCCGUGGUGAGGGAGACCUCGUGGGAAUACGUCUGCAGGAAAGCCCGCACCCCAUCCACGCCCACAAAGCGCGAGGCGGGCACGCCAGCCAAUCCACCCCCCGCAGCCUGGAGCAGACGCGAUGAGCGCCAGCGCCUCAGUCUGAGAGCCAGCAGCACGAUCACAAAGGCAAGGAAGACGCAGGAGACUGCGGCCACCGCCACCACCAGGUACAGCGUGAGACCUGAGGCAUCAGGGUCAGCUGGGGGCUCGAGACUGCCCAGGUCGGCCAGGACGUCUGGAAUGCUGUCGGCCACCGCCACCGUGAGCGUGACGGUGGCCGAGAGAGGGGGUUGGCCGUGGUCUUGCACUGCCACCACCAGGCUCUGCUUGAGCGCAUCUCUGUCCUGCAGGGCCCGCGCUGUGCGCACCUCGCCCGUGUGCAGCCCCACCGCGAAAAGCCCUGGCUCGCUGGCCUUGAGCAGGCGGUAGGACAACCAGGCGUUCUGGCCAGAGUCUCUAUCCACCGCCACCACCUUGGUUACCAGGUAGCCGGGCUCUGCCGAUCGGGGUGCCAGCUCCACGCCUGUGGAACCGUCGGUGGGGAGGGCGGGGUACAGGAUCUCCGGUGUGUUGUCAUUCUGGUCAAGAAUGAAUAUACUCAAGGACACAUUGCUGCUAAGCGGUGGGUCUCCGCUGUCCUGCGCAGUCACUCUCAGUUGCAGGUCACGGAAUUGCUCAUAGUCGAAGGAAUGCAAGGCAUACAGGACACCAGUGUCAGAGUUGAUGGACACAUAGGAGGAUAGGGGUGCCCCCCGGAGCGUGUCUUCAGACAGGGAGUAAGUGACUUGGGCAUUCUCAUGGCUGUCCGGGUCAUGUGCAGUCACAGAGAAGAUGGAGGCACCUCUGGGGUUGUUUUCAGGGAUGUAGACAGAAUAGGAGGAGUGGGGGAAGGCAGGUGGGUUGUCGUUGGUAUCUGCCACAUUCACUGAGAUGUGAGUUUCCAUGGACAAGGGUGGGGUUCCACCAUCUGUGGCUUUCAGUGUGAUGUUAUACACAGGGAGUUUUUCCCGGUCUAGUUUUUUCGCUGUCACCAACCUAUAAUAAUUGUCUACUGAUCUUUCUAAUUUAAAAGGCAGAUUUUCUGAAAUAGUGCAGGUCACCUCACCAUUCUUGCCGGAAUCUCGAUCUUGAAGGUAGAAAAGAGCAAUUACUGUUCCAGGAGGAGUGUCUUCAGGGAUUGAGUUGCUUACAGAUGUUAGAGUCACUUCUGGGGCAUUGUCAUUCACAUCUAAAAUUGUGAUAAUUACUUUAGCCCUUGUCAUGCUACCAGGACCGUCCUGAGCCUGAACUUCCAUUUCAUAGUAGCUGGACUCUUCAUAAUCUAGGCCUUCUGAAGUUGAUAAUUCUCCUGUAUGAGGGUUCAGUUGGAAUAUCUGUAGAAUUUUUUGAGUUAUUUUCCGGAAAGAAUAUGUCACUUCCCCAUUGACUCCCUCAUCCAGAUCGACAGCGUGUACUGUGAGCAAUCUUGUGCCCACUGGUACGUUCUCAGGGACAGUUACUUGGUACUGAGGCAAAGAGAAGACUGGCACGUGAUCAUUCACAUCCACCACAGUUACCUGGAUGCGGGCGGUUUCCGAUCGGGGUGGGUCACCGCCGUCAGAGGCUGUAAGGAGUAGGUGGUGAACAGCCUCUUCCUCUCUAUCCAGCACCCUUUCCAGCACUAAUUCUGGAUAUUUAGCUCCAUCAUCUCCAGUCUGCACAACCAGGGAGAAGUGACGAUUGGGACUGAGCUGGUAGCUCUGGAGGGAGUUC
rnacentral:lncRNA from 1 species